AUAUGGGGGGACCAUCCUCCAAGGCUAAAUACUCCUGACUGACCGAUAGUGAACCAGUACCGUGAGGGAAAGGCGAAAAGAACCCCGGCGAGGGGAGUGAAAAAGAACCUGAAACCGUGUACGUACAAGCAGUGGGAGCACGCUUAGGCGUGUGACUGCGUACCUUUUGUAUAAUGGGUCAGCGACUUAUAUUCUGUAGCAAGGUUAACCGAAUAGGGGAGCCGAAGGGAAACCGAGUCUUAACUGGGCGUUAAGUUGCAGGGUAUAGACCCGAAACCCGGUGAUCUAGCCAUGGGCAGGUUGAAGGUUGGGUAACACUAACUGGAGGACCGAACCGACUAAUGUUGAAAAAUUAGCGGAUGACUUGUGGCUGGGGGUGAAAGGCCAAUCAAACCGGGAGAUAGCUGGUUCUCCCCGAAAGCUAUUUAGGUAGCGCCUCGUGAAUUCAUCUCCGGGGGUAGAGCACUGUUUCGGCAAGGGGGUCAUCCCGACUUACCAACCCGAUGCAAACUGCGAAUACCGGAGAAUGUUAUCACGGGAGACACACGGCGGGUGCUAACGUCCGUCGUGAAGAGGGAAACAACCCAGACCGCCAGCUAAGGUCCCAAAGUCAUGGUUAAGUGGGAAACGAUGUGGGAAGGCCCAGACAGCCAGGAUGUUGGCUUAGAAGCAGCCAUCAUUUAAAGAAAGCGUAAUAGCUCACUGGUCGAGUCGGCCUGCGCGGAAGAUGUAACGGGGCUAAACCAUGCACCGAAGCUGCGGCAGCGACGCUGAUGCGUUGUUGGGUAGGGGAGCGUUCUGUAAGCCUG
rnacentral:rRNA from 1 species